rnacentral:rRNA from 1 species
AUUGAACGCUGGCGGCAGGCCUAACACAUGCAAGUCGAACGAGUGGCGGACGGGUGAGUAAUGUCUGGGUAACUGCCCGAUGGAGGGGGAUAACUACUGGAAACGGUAGCUAAUACCGCAUACCAUCGGAUGUGCCCAGAUGGGAGUAGCUAGUAGGUGGGGUAACGGCUCACCUAGGCGACGAAUCCUAGCUGGUCUGAGAGGAUGACCAGCAACACUGGAACGGAGACACGGGCCAGACUCCUACGGGAGGCAGCAGUGGGGAAGAUUGCACAAUGGGCGCAAGCCUGAUGCAGCCAUGCCGCGUGUAUGAAGAAGGCCUUCGGGUUGUAAAGUACUUUCAGCGAGGAGGCGUUACUCGCAGAAGAAGGACCGGCUAACUCCGUGCCAGCCGCCGCGGUAAUUC